CAGCCGCCGCGGUAAUACGAGGGGAGCUAGCGUUAUUCGGAAUUACUGGGCGUAAAGCGCACGUAGGCGGCUUUGUAAGUUAGAGGUGAAAGCCCAGAGCUCAACUCUGGAAUUGCCUUUAAGACUGCAUCGCUUGAAUCCAGGAGAGGUGAGUGGAAUUCCGAGUGUAGAGGUGAAAUUCGUAGAUAUUCGCAAGAACACCAGUGGCGAAGGCGGCUCACUGGCCCGGUACUGACGCUGAGGUGCGAAAGCGUGGGGAGCAAACAGGAUUAGAUACCCGAGUAGUCCCUGUCUCUUAUAC
rnacentral:rRNA from 1 species